rnacentral:rRNA from 1 species
AUUGAACGCUGGCGGCGGGCUUAAGACAUGCAAGUCGAGCGGAGCGAGGGUGCUUGCACCUUAGCUUAGCGGCGGACGGGUGAGUAAUGCUUAGGAAUCUGCCUAUUAGUGGGGGACAACAUUCCGAAAGGAAUGCUAAUACCGCAUACGCCCUACGGGGGAAAGCAGGGAUCUUCGGACCUUGCGCUAAUAGAUGAGCCUAAGUCGGAUUAGCUAGUUGGUGGGGUAAAGGCCUACCAAGGCGACGAUCUGUAGCGGGUCUGAGAGGAUGAUCCGCCACACUGGGACUGAGACACGGCCCAGACUCCUACGGGAGGCAGCAGUGGGGAAUAUUGGACAAUGGGCGGAAGCCUGAUCCAGCCAUGCCGCGUGUGUGAAGAAGGCCUUUUGGUUGUAAAGCACUUUAAGCGAGGAGGAGGCUACUUAGAUUAAUACUCUGGGAUAGUGGACGUUACUCGCAGAAUAAGCACCGGCUAACUCUGUGCCAGCCGCCGCGGUAACAC